GGUAGUUCGAAAUAUACCAUCAUUGUACUUAUUAAGAACUAGUCCAAAAAAAUGUCGAAAAUAAUGACCUAUCCUACCUCUGCUACAUGUGUCUUCCUCAGUUCUGAUGAUUUGCAAAUGAUCUGAAAAGCUCUAAUCAGGUGCUUGCACUUGCUGGUGAUAUGAAGAUUAUCACCGGUUAAUAUCGACUCUUCAUCAGUAGCCAAUCGAUGAUCAGCUUUUGGCAUUUAAUUUCUCUAAAAGGAUUUUGUUCAAAAGUUUUGGAUUUGCUUUGCCUUUUGAUUCCUUCAUCACCUGGCCAGCAAAAUAACCUUGCAAUUUAGUUUUACCACCGCGGUAUUGUUCCAGCUGCUUUGGACUAUCUGCAAUCACCUUAUCUACCAUUUUCUCAAUCUCCGCAGUGUCAACAAUCUGAACCAGAUCCUUUUCUUUUAUCAGCCCCUUGACUGUUCCACCCUUGGCGAUUAGCUCAAAUAAAAUCUCCUUCCCAAUCUUUCCGCUGAUAGUCUCAUCUUUAAUGGAAGCUAUGAGCUCCCCCAGUUCUUGAGGGGUAAGUUUAAUCUCAUUGAUAGUCACUUUUUCAUUUUUCAUGUACGCAGCAAUAUCUCCCAUAAUCCAAUUGGCAGCAAGCUUUA
rnacentral:misc_RNA from 1 species